UCAUAGAUUUAUAGGACUAUCAGUUCAAGUC
rnacentral:piRNA from 1 species